UUUUUUGUGGUUGACCUCGGAUCAGGUAGGAAUACCCGCUGAACUUAAGCAUAUCAAAAGCCCGGAGGAAA
rnacentral:rRNA from 1 species